rnacentral:pre_miRNA from 1 species
GUGAGUGUGUAUGGUGAGUGCCUGUAUUAUCUAUAUCCUCUGUUAAUAAUAUAGAUAAUACAGGCGCUCACCAUACACACACAUGCA